UACGUAGGGUGCGAGCGUUAAUCGGAAUUACUGGGCGUAAAGUGUGCGCAGGCGGCUUCGCAAGUCGAGUGUGAAAUCCCCGAGCUUAACUUGGGAAUUGCGCUCGAAACUACGGAGCUGGAGUGCGGCAGAGGGGGAUGGAAUUCCGCGUGUAGCAGUGAAAUGCGUAGAUAUGCGGAGGAACACCGAUGGCGAAGGCAAUCCCCUGGGCCUGCACUGACGCUCAUGCACGAAAGCGUGGGGAGCAAACAGG
rnacentral:rRNA from 1 species